CAGGGGGCUCUGUCGAGCCGGCGCCGCCACCCGUCUCCCUCCUCCGGCUCCUGGAGCCCCCGAGAACCCCCGGGAGCCCCCGGGGGCCCGUGACGCCGGAGGGGGUGGCGACGGCGGCCCCUCUGCUCAGACAGGGAGGAAGAGGGGGCUUCGCUGUGGACCGGAGGGGCCCCACCGUCCCCAGCACCAUCUUCUGAGCAGUCACCCUAUGAGGGUGUGCUCCAGGUAUGCUCUUCAGCUCACCUGAACUCUGAGUAGCAGGUAAAGGGUGUUUGCCCAGGCUGGGCUCCCUAGGGGCUGCACGACCGUGGGCAAAUCACUUCCCUCUGAGACUCCCUCCUCACCUGAAAAGUGAGGGAAAUGACACCGUUUCGAAUUCUCACAAAUUAAAGGUUUGACAAUAUCAAGUUAUUUAAAUGUUCUGUGCUCAGUUUCCCCGUCUACGAAAUGGCGAGGAUAGUAGGAACGGCCUCAGUGGACCACCGAGAGGAUUAAAUGAGUUAUACACAUAAAGGGAUACAUGCCCCAUAAAUGUGAGCCGUCACCAUCAGCUGUUGCGAGGGUUUGGUGCAAGCGCUGGGAGGUGACAGGGAGCUACUUACCGAAACUAACACUGUCACCAAGCAAGCCCAUUUCUCAGUAUUUCCAGCUGCCGCCGAGAUGAUUCUGACUCAGAGCGACCACGUCAGAGGAGAACUACUCGGCCGGGUUUUCGGUCGGUGAUUUUUCAGGAGCGGAUUACCACGCCCUUCUUCCAAGGCACCUCUGGGUGGACUUGAACCUCCCACCUUUCAGUCAGCAGCUUCCUUAACUGUUGGCACCGUGCCCCGCCCCGGGCUCCCUUUUUCAGUGUGCACCUACAGAAAUGCUUGCUCACACGCCUGGGAAGCUGCACAAGACUACUGAUUGCGACAUUUUAACUGCAAAGAAUUGGAACCACCACCAUGUUCAUCGGACACAACCCCAUGAGGCAAAUGCCAUUAGAUUCAAUUUACAGAGGAAGAAACUAAAGUUCGGGGAAGUGAAAGGACUUGCCAAGUUCAACAAGGAUACUCAGGGCCUCAUCUUCAUAGACCCUCUCUGCAAGAGCCUGGAUUGCCCCCUCUCCAGAUGUGCCCAAGGCAUCCCCACAGUGCCAACUCAAGGGAAAGCCAGUCCUUGCUGAGAAGUGGGACCGUCCUGAGACUGCAAUGCUGUGUGAGGCCCACCCCUCAGUGAAAGAGGCCACAUGGAAGACUAAGGUCCUUGUCAGCCUAUGAGGGAGGCCUCUGGCUGUGGACACUCCAACUCCAGUUGAGCUGCCCCAGCCAAUAUCACGUAGAGCAGAGACCAGCUGUCCCAAAUGGCAGAACGGGGAGCAAAUAAAUAAAAAUUUUGUUAUUUCAAGCCACAAAGCUUUGGGGUAGUUUGUUAUGCAGUAAAAGGUAACACUAAUACAUAUUAGGGAGAAAAGCAGACUACUACUUUCCUCUCACCAUAGUUCUGAUCUGUGUUAGGAGUCGGGCAGAAGUUCAGCUUGUACACACUACAUGUACACGUGCACAAAGUUACAGACUUCCUGGGACUAGAAGGGACUCUUCACAUUUUAUGGGAAAUCUGAGGUCCAGAAAGGCUAGGCCCAGCACUGCAAGGGGCACUAAUGAUGAGUCGGGGCUAACCCCAGGCAGCUCCAGUUUUUGGUCUGGGCCCGGCAGGGCAUGGCCAGCUGGGUUCCCCAGUUUGGGUCAGUGGGCCUUCGGCUGCAAGUGGGACACUGUUCAUGGCAGGAGUGUGUCUGCAGCUCCAAAUUCCCACAAAGAAAGACAAGGGGAAUCAUUGCAGAGAAAUUCCUGGGCCACAUUUUUCUUGCUGUUCAUGUGGCCUGAAGCCAUUGAACUUGGCUGGACUGCCCAGGGAGGGAUUUUACAAAGGCCUUUGUCCUGUCCUCCAAAGUCUCACCCCCACCCCUGUCCUACCUUUUCUUUCUUUCUUCCCUCCCCCACCCCAGGAGAAAUGCAGCUUGGGAAAGGGCCAGAGGCCAUGGCCCAGCCCGGCCCUGGCCAGUUGGUGGACUGACGGGGCAGCAGAGAGGCAGGGCACUUCCUGGCUGUGGAGGCCGCAGGCUUUCCAUGCCCUAGAGGGAGGUGGGAGGCAGGAGGAUACUGCUUCAGUACUUCAGUAAGAAGAGUAAGGUGUAUUGAGCACCUACUGUAUGCUGAGCACUGUUCUGAGCAUCCUACAUAUGUUAACUCAUUAAUCCUCACAAGAGCCCUAUUAUAAUCUCCAUUUUACAGAAUGGGAAAUGGAGGCACAGAACGGUUAUGGACUUACCUAGGGUCCCACAGCUGGUAAGUGGAAGAGAGGGGAUGUGACCGGAGGUGUCUGCUUCCAGUGUGACUCUUACCUCUCACUCUCCCACAGCUCAGCAUUCCACUUAUAGACACAGCCCUGAUGGUGUGUCUGUAAAGUCGGAGCAACAAUUUCUUUUACAAAGCAUUUGCAUUGAUAUGGCUUGCAGGUCUUUGAGGGGCUCCCAGCACCUGACAUGCCACAGAAUAUGAGACCUUCCCCCACAGGUGGGGCCCACCAAGUGUCUGGUCCUCUGAGCUGGGGCCCAGCACUGUGACCAGGGAGGUACUUAGUACUCUGAUUCCUCACCAUGACCGCUGCUGCUGACAGUGCAGGGACAGACCAGUCGCCAAGGGAGUCUUCACGGUGGGCCAGCCCUGGGCUUGGUG